CCCAAAAGAAGAAGAAGCCGCAGAGUUCCCGCUUCAUUGCGUUUGUGUUUAAGUUUAUUUUUCUUCCUCAUCUAAAGUGAAGCACUAAGCUGAUCAGCAGGAGGAGAAGAGUCUGACGGAGCAGCAGAGGAACAUUUAAGCUACUUGGACUCAGCUCAGCCACUGCAGAGAAAUCAAUGAGUUCGACACAGAAGGACCAACAUGGACCGAGAAGUCAGCGCUCUCAGGAGGCCGACAAACCUCACAGAAGAAAGAGAGAGAAAAAAAACACCUGUGACGAGUGUGGGAAGGAUUUUACUAGGAAGUCUAAACUAAAACAACAUCAGCUCAUCCACACUGGAGAGAGACCGUUCAGCUGUGACUUGUGUGGAAAGUCGUUUUCCUGGAAGAAAACCCUAAAAAGACACCAAGUUGUCCACAGUGGAGUUAAAGCUUACAGCUGUGAUCAGUGUGGUAAAGCUUUUACUCAAAAGAUCAGCUUACAGAGACAUCUAGUUACCCACUCUGGAAUGAAGGCAUACAGCUGUGACAUCUGUGGAAAAACUUUCAGCCGGCUAUGGAGCCGAAAUAUACACCUACGCAUUCACUCCGGAGAAAAUGUGUACUGGUGUGAUCAGUGUGGCAAAUACUUUACAACAGACACACACUUACAACAGCACAUGUUUACCCACACUGAGGAG